GAUGAACGCUGGCGGCGUGCCUAAUACAUGCAAGUCGAGCGAACGGACGAGAAGCUUGCUUCUCUGAUGUUAGCGGCGGACGGGUGAGUAACACGUGGAUAACCUACCUAUAAGACUGGGAUAACUUCCGGAAACCGGAGCUAAUACCGGAUAAUAUUUUGAACCGCAUGGUUCAAAAGUGAAAGACGGUCUUGCUGUCACUUAUAGAUGGAUCCGCGCUGCAUUAGCUAGUUGGUAAGGUAACGGCUUACCAAGGCAACGAUGCAUAGCCGACCCGAGAGGGUGAUCGGCCACACUGGAACUGAGACACGGUCCAGACUCCUACGGGAGGCAGCAGUAGGGAAUCUUCCGCAAUGGGCGAAAGCCUGACGGAGCAACGCCGCGUGAGUGAUGAAGGUCUUCGGAUCGUAAAACUCUGUUAUUAGGGAAGAACAUAUGUGUAAGUAACUGUGCACAUCUUGACGGUACCUAAUCAGAAAGCCACGGCUAACUACGUG
rnacentral:rRNA from 1 species